UUACGGCCAUAUCCCGUUAAAACACCGGUUCUCGUCCGAUCACAGAAGUUAAGCAACAACGAAUGUGGUCAGUAACUAGAUAGGUAACCUCUUGGGAAUAUCAGAAGCUGUAUG